rnacentral:rRNA from 1 species
UACGUAGGGUGCAAGCGUUGUCCGGAAUUAUUGGGCGUAAAGAGCUCGUAGGCGGUCUGUCGCGUCGGAUGUGAAAAUCCAGGGCUCAACCCUGGACCUGCAUUCGAUACGGGCAGACUAGAGUUCGGCAGGGGAGACUGGAAUUCCUGGUGUAGCGGUGAAAUGCGCAGAUAUCGGGAAGAACACCCGUGGCGAAGGCGGUUCUCUGGGACGGUACUGACGCUGAGACGCGAAAGCGUGGGGAGCGAACAGG